AGUACGAGAGGACCGGGAAUGACGCACCUCUGGUGUUCCGGUUGUCGUGUCAGCGGCAGCGCCGGGUAGCUAAGUGCGGAAGGGAUAAGAGCUGAAAGCAUCUAAGCUCUAAGCCCAUCCCAAGAUAAGACUUCCCCGAGGGGCCAAGUAGACCACUUGGUUGAUAGGUCGGAUGUGUAAGCGCAGCAAUGCGUUGAGCUAACCGAUACUAAUUGCCCGAAAGAGUUUGUUUA
rnacentral:rRNA from 1 species